AUAUUUUCUAUUGCUGAGCAGCGGUUAGGAAAGCAAUGGCAGACUGACACUGCUCUUGAUUGGGAGUUAGCACUUUGCUUAGCCAUAAUCUAGAUUAAGUGGGAGAAUUUAUCCUGAAUUGGUAGAUCAGUGAACAUGGGAACUUAGCAUUAGGUGCCAAAAUGCCAACUGGUACAUGAGGCACAUGGUAGUGGUGGCCGGACCAGUGUGUUUGCAUUCUUGCAUUGCUGGACCCACAGAACCUUUUCUGUGUGAAAUUAUUGCAUCGAUAAUUGAUCUCAAGUAUCAUCUUGGAUCCUUAUCUUUCGUUGUUUUUCCUGAGUGUAGCUCAAGAAAUGUUUAAUUUUCAGUGUAAAAAUACUAUUAUCUGCCUUUUCUUUUGUUGCCUGGCUUCGCAUAAAACAUAUCAUGAUUGCUCAGUGUUCCAUUCAUAUGCAGAUUAUCUCAUACCAGUUAAGCAGCCAUGGUAUCUUCCAUCACAUUCGAUGAUCUAUGUAAUCGAGAAGGUGUCGCAAAAGGGCAUCAAAAGGUUUGCUGAAUCAAAUCAAGUGAAAGGAGCAACGCGAUGAAAGUAACUUCUCUGAUAUAAUGGUUUGCGUUGUGUCCAGGUAUAGGAUCACCACCAGUUUGUUAAUCUCAUAUAUGCUAUCUUGAACUCACUGUUUAGACAUCCAAAACUAUGAAAACUAUAACAUCUGCUGGUAUUGCUCAUUGAGGGCCUAGUCUCUGAAGAUUUCAGAGCAACAGGUACAGAUAAAGGAGGUGCAUGCCCCCUGAAUAUUCAAUUAGUCAAGUGGCUGCUGAUGACAGUGAUCUGCAGCAAAAGAAUUCCAUAUGUUCAACUGCUUUGGAGAAAGAAAAUUCCAAGUUGGCAAAUCCAAAAGUGCCAUGCUGGAUCCAACACUCCAGCUGAUCAAGCAAUCCAAAGUUCAUCCUGGCAAAAAUAAAAAAAAUAAAAAAGAGAGAGAAAUCCACCGGCCGUCACCUGCAGUGCUGCUUUCGGAGACUAAACCAGAUGAUUUUCUAAAAACCUGAGGCAGGUAGUGUUUAUAUCCAUGUAUUAUCCUAUCAUUAUCGCCGCACCGAAAGAGAGAAAUCAAUGGAGAUAGCCAAAAGAAGAUGAUGCCAUGGAUGCUUUGGAAAUAAGUACUACUUAUCAUCAGCCUCUAUCAGAUGUGAGUCGGCAUCGUACGCAGCUGUUAUCAUUGGUUGGAAAUAUUGUUCAGAGGUUGAUGUUUUGUUUCCUGGCACUGUUUUCUUUUGCUCGCUGGAAUAUGUAUACAUAGCCGUCACCCUGUGGUCCUACCGUCCUCAACCAAAGCAUAUCAUGUAUACAUGUCAAUGUGUUGCUACUUGCUAUGUUUUAUGUUGUCAGUCACUUUGAGUUUGUCCUAAAUCAAAUCUCAUUAAGCUUAACCAAGUUUGUACAAAAAUUAUACUAAC